CUACCCAGCAGAAUGAAAUGAUGAACCUCUAGGUGCAGUUAACAUGUGAUACAGUCCUACUAUCGUGGAUCCCUACAGGACGGAGGUCAUGGACAACUCGUCAAACCCCAUCGUCUGUCAUAUGUCAAGAUUUGUUCGACUUGAGUUCGAUGGUGGAAAACUCUUUUUCCACUUUAUAUUACUGCCCUGGCCAAGGUCUUAGAACUCAGUCUAACAAAUCAUAUAGGAUCACUCCUCUUCUAUCAAGGUCGAUAGGUUCCUUAUAGGUGCAUACCCUACUCCUACAGUGAACUUACUGCAGCCAAUCUACACUGCAUGGACCCAUAUGGCUAGAGACCAUGUGUGUGUGCAGUCAAACUACAAUAAUCUCACUGUGAGUAGCCGAAGCACCGCAGGUCAAAGGACCAGUCACACUACUGCAACAUCAAGCAAGUCACUGACGAGUGGAUAGACAUCCAAGUGACUUCUUGUCUUGGUCACGCUCAGUACC
rnacentral:lncRNA from 1 species